AAUGGCAUUGUAACUUCUGAAAUAUAAUUUAUCAGUUUGUAGUCUUCCGUAACGCCAUAACAUGUCCAAGAGUGCCAAAGAAUGGAAAAUAAUAAAGAGAAAGUUGAAUGUCUAAGGUCACAAACAUAUGUUCUGGGAUUUUCGUUCUUUAAAAGCUGACGAGAUCAUAUUACGUAAUACAUUUAAAUAGUUUCUGAUUUGAUCUAUAGACUUAAAUGCACAUAGAUCUAACUAGUUUUUUACUUCUAUGAACAAUCGAUUGACUGAUCCCAUGGAAUUUGCAAGACAAUAUGAACUGCUGAACAAACAAGAUUUCUUGUUGGACAUGAGGCCUUGCCUUGUCAUGGUGAUAAUCAUAUCGCUUGCCAUCAAAUUGACUGAUUAAUAAAAAUCGGACUGUUUAUUGAGCUGUAUGCUCAAUGUGGAUUGUGGACCAAUGAUCGUACCUAUGCACUAUAGUUGGCAGUGACCUAAGAUCUUAUCUACCUUAAAGCUUACUUAAACUCUUGGAGAAAAAGGAUCUCUUUGAAGUGCGAAGUUGGUGACAGAUACAAGAAUGACAUGCAGGGCCGGAUUUAUGCUUGAUAUGGCCCCAAUUCAACCUAUUUGAGAUAUGGGAACCCUUUUUAAUCAACGAUAAAUUCGCACAAGUGCUCCUUCUUCUAGAGCCAUUUGAGCGUGGAACGGGUUGCCUGAAUCAGCCAGGAUCAUCCAAAGCCAAUGACUUAGCCGAGUUUUAAGUAAGCCAAUGUAAUUAACAUGCACGAUUAGAUUGACACAUGAAUACGCGUAGGACGUAAUUAUAUCAUCUGUAAUUAUAAGAUAAGAUAACAUUAUCAGCUGGGUCUGUAAAAGUGUGAGAGCCAAAGCAAAAACCCAUAGCAAAAAAAAAAACAUUAAUUAAAACACAUAGAAAGAUAUGACUCCUCACAGACCUAUUUAACCGAAGGACACAGUCACAGUCAACUUGAAGCAGA